UUUUUUACAGAUCACAGGUUUAAAUGAAUUGCGAUAGUACUGCUAUUUUGGCAAUUACAUUUUUUAACAUUCUGACUUUUAUAAAGUUAAAAAUUGCAAAGUUCCAUAUGUUUAGUUUUUUUAAAUGUUUUGGUUGUGUCUUAUUUUUCGGUAUUACUAGAGAUGCUAUAUAAUGAAGUGAUGUUUUGUGAGUACGCCUAAUAAUGUUUAAUGCAAUGUUCAACGAAUCCGCUAUUGUGUGGAUUGAAUUUGGAGAAGCCAUGGUUUUCUCAUGGACAAUUAUACAUCGCAUACUCCAGAAAACCAAGGGAUUUGUUGCUUGUAUAUAUGCCAAAUGGAAUCACUAAAAACAUAGUAUAUUCAAGUGCUUGUCAUGUAAACGAAGCUAAACCCUCAAAUCUAAUUUAUGGAUUAUACCCAGAACAGGGAAAGCGUACAAUGUCCCAGUUCGUGCUGCCUUCAGAGCAGUUUGGAGGAGGCGGUGUAACGGUCUGGGCUCGGAUUUAGACUGGAAGACGAACUGGACUUCAUAUUGAUGAAGGCAACCUCACCGCAGACCGUUAUCUCCAGGAAAUUAUCGUGGAAUACAACCCUCAAACCAGGGAUUUCAUUGGCAGGAAUUUUCGAUUUCUGUAUGACAAUGCCAUAUCACAUAGAGGCAGAGUUGUUCAUCAAUGUUUAGAAAGCCUGGGAAUUUAUCAUCUGCCUUUCCCCAUUGUCUCCAGACCUCAUUCGCAAUGAGCACAUGUGGGAUGAGUUGCAGAGAAGGCUUUAAGAUCACCAUCCGAAGCCAGUUGACCUGCAACAACUGUGUGCAGCGUUGCAACCUCCGUGAAGUGGAAUUCCUUAUGAAAUACUAAUUUCACAAGUGACAACCUUAUUAACAAUACGCCAAAAGAGGUUUUUGCUAAGAGAAAACAUUAUACACGGCAUUAAUUGUUUACAAAAAACUUAUU